CUCAUCUCUACCUAUUAGCAGCAACAACACAUGUAUAGAUGUAAAUGAAUGUCAAUCUGAUCCAUGUGGUACACACUCGACCUGCAUCAACACAAUUGGCAGUUACAACUGUUCUUGCUGGAGAGGAUACACCCCAACCAACUCAUCACUGCCUGUUAUCAACAACAACACUUGUACAGAUGUAAAUGAAUGUGCCUCUGAUCCAUGCGGUAAAAACUCCACCUGCAUCAACACGAUUGGCAGUUACAACUGUUCUUGCUGGAGAGGAUACACCCCAACAAACUCAUCGCUACCUAUUAGCAGCAACAACACAUGUAUAGAUGUAAAUGAAUGUGAAUCUGAUCCAUGUGGUAAAAACUCCACCUGCGUCAACACCAUUGGUAGAUACAACUGUUCU